GACAACGUAGCUCAAUGGAUAGAGCGCAGGACAAUCCCCUUGGAAUGCUGGUUCAAUUUCAGCCGUUGUUA